GGCGUAGCCCAGAAAACUAGGAUGUUGGCUUAUAAGCAGCCAUCAUUUAACGAGUGCGUAAUAGAUCACUAGUGGAGUGGCACUGCGCCGAAAAUGUACCGAGGAUAAACGUAUUACCGAAGCUGUGGAUUGUCCUUGGGACAAUGGUAGGAGAGCGUUCUAAGGGUGUUGAAGCAUGAUCGUAAGGACAUGUGGAGCGCAUAGAAGUGAGAAUGCCGGUGUGAGUAGCGAAAGACGGGUGAGAAUCCCGUCCACCGAUUGACUAAGGUUUCCAGAGCAAGGCUCGUCCGCUCUGGGUUAGUCGGGUCCUAAGCUGAGGCCGACAGGCGUAGGCGAUGGAUAACAGGUUGAUAUUCCUGUACCACCUAUAAUCGUUUUAAUCGAUGGGGGGACGCAGUAGGAUAGGCGAAGCGUGCGAUUGGAUUGCACGUCUAAGCAGUAAGGCUGAGUAUUAGGCAAAUCCGGUACUCGUUAAGGCUGAGCUGUGAUGGGGAGAAGACAUUGAGUCUUCGAGUCGUUGAUUUCACACUGCCGAGAAA
rnacentral:rRNA from 1 species